UGGCAUUUAACUUUAGUGGCGGACGGGUGAGUACACGUGAGAAUUUACCUUUAGGAGGGGAAUAACAGUUGGAAACGACUGCUAAUGCCGCAUAUCAUAACUAUGAAAGAAGAAAUUCGCCUAAAGAAAAGCUUGCGUCUGAUUAGCUAGUUGGUAAGGGUAAAGGCCUACCAAGGCGACGAUCAGUAGCUGGUUUGAGAGGACGACCAGUCACACUGGAACUGAGACACGGUCCAGACUCCUACGGGAGGCAGCAGUGGGGAAUUUUCUGCAAUGGGCGAAAGCCUGACAGAGCAAUACCGCGUGAGGGAAGAAAGCCCACAGGGUUGUAAACCUCUUUUGUCAAGGAAGAAGUUCUGACGUUACUUGACGAAUAAGCAUCGGCUAACUCCGUGCCAGCAGCCGCGGUAAGACGGGGGAUGCAAGUGUUAUCCGGAAUCACUGGGCGUAAAGCGUUUGUAGGUGGUUUAGUAAGUCUAUUGUUAAAGCUUGAAGCUCAACUUCAAAAAUGUAAUAGAAACUACUAGACUUGAGGAUAGUAGGGGUAAAGGGAAUUUCCAGUGGAGCGGUGAAAUGCGUAGAGAUUGGAAGGACCACCGAUGGCGAAGGCACUUUACUGGGCUAUUUCUGACACUAAGAGACGAAAGCU
rnacentral:rRNA from 1 species